rnacentral:rRNA from 1 species
UGGGGAAUAUUGGACAAUGGGGGCAACCCUGAUCCAGCAAUGCCGCGUGAGUGAUGAAGGCCUUAGGGUUGUAAAGCUCUUUUGCCAGGGAAGAUGAUGACUGUACCUGGAGAAUAAGCCCCGGCUAACUUCGUGCCAGCAGCCGCGGUAAUACGAAGGGGGCUAGCGUUGUUCGGAAUUACUGGGCGUAAAGGGCGCGUAGGCGGCCGUUUAAGUUAGGUGUGAAAGUCCUGGGCUCAACCUGGGGACUGCACUUAAUACUGGAUGGCUUGAAUUCGGGAGAGGAUAGCGGAAUUCCCAGUGUAGAGGUGAAAUUCGUAGAUAUUGGGAAGAACACCGGUGGCGAAGGCGGCUAUCUGGACCGACAUUGACGCUGAGGCGCGAAAGCGUGGGGAGCAAA